GGCUACUGUUUAUAAAAAAUAUAGGUCUUUGCAAAGUUGUAAUAUCAUGUAUAGGGGUUAAUGCUUGUCCAAUGCUGGAAGAUCAAGGAAGUUGAUGAUCUGAUAACAGAAGAGCCGACGAUCAAAGCCCUGGUAAAUUAAGGUAGUGAAAUUCUUUGUCGAGUAAGUUUUGACCCACACCAAAGGCGUAAGGAUC
rnacentral:ncRNA from 1 species